rnacentral:rRNA from 1 species
CAGCCAUGCCGCGUGGAGGAAGAAGGUCCUCUGGAUUGUAAACUCCUUUUGUCGGGGAAGAAUAGGCAGGAUGCGUCCUGUUGUGACGGUACCCGAUGAAUAAGCCACGGCUAACUACGUGCCAGCAGCCGCGGUAAUACGUAGGUGGCAAGCGUUGUCCGGAUUUAUUGGGUUUAAAGGGUGCGUAGGUGGUUUAUUAAGUCAGUGGUGAAAGCUGGUUGCUCAACAAUCAAGUUGCCAUUGAUACUGAUAGACUUGAGAGAAGUGGAGGUUCAUGGAAUGGAUGGUGUAGCGGUGAAAUGCAUAGAUAUCAUCCAGAACGUCGAUUGCGAAGGCAGUGGGCUGUACUUUUUCUGACACUGAGGCACGAAAGCGUGGGGAUCAAACAGGAUUAGAUACCCUGGUAGUCCACGCUGUAAACGAUGCGAACUAGCUUUUUGGUUUAGGAUUAGGAGGCUAAGGGAAACCGAUAAGUUCGCCACCUGGGGAGUACGCCGGCAACGGUG